GAUGAUGAUGAUGUACCUACUGUGCCUUCAACGCUGGGCGAGGAGCUCAUGUACAACCCUUUCCUAAGGGUGACAGAGGAUCCAGUCCGUGCGUUCACAGGCCAGGUGGCACCAGCCCAGGUCCUGGAGGUGCUCUGCAGGGAGCGAGCACGCUUCCAGCUUGCUUCGGAGCCUCCACAGCCCCAGGUCCGGGCACUCCUGGCCUUACAAUGGGGGCUUCUGAGCACAGGCCAGGAAAAGUGAACUGUGUGGGGAGCCUGCUUGUCUCCACACUCCUCUGAACCUCAGGCCGACUGGAACCCUGCCACCCUGACUGCUUAUGGAGCCAUACAAGUGUGGUCUGUAGGAGCUCUUGUGGGUCCAGAGACAUACAUCCUGGGGACUGAGGAGGGUAAAUAAAACUUUGAAAGGCGCA
rnacentral:lncRNA from 1 species